rnacentral:rRNA from 1 species
CAGAUCCAAUUUUCUGCCACCGAAUACAUUAGCAUGGGAUAAUGGAAUAGGACCCUGUCCUCCUAUUUUCAGUUGGUUUUGGCAGCGCGAGGACUAGGGUAAUGAUUAAUAGGGAUAGUUGGGGGCAUUAAUAUUUAAUUGUCAGAGGUGAAAUUCUUGGAUUUAUGAAAGAUUAACUUCUGCGAAAGCAUCUGCCAAGGAUGUUUUCAUUAAUCAAGAACGAAAGUUAGGGGAUCGAAGACGAUCAGAUACCGUCGUAGUCUUAACCAUAAACGAUGCCGACCAGCGAUUAGGAGACGUUGAAUACAAAACACCACCAUCGGUGCGGUCGUCCUUGGCGUCGGUUUCGGCCGGCGCGGGGGUGGCUUAGCCCGGUGGCACCGGUGAAUGACUCCCCUAGCAGCUUGUGA